AUGGAUGUGGCUGCGAUUGUGAGCUGCCACCCGGUUCCUCCACUUAUAUCGUCAUUGACAUCUUACAACGAAACACCACUUUUUGGACGCAUUUUGAUAAAAGUCUCUUUCGGUUCCUUUCUCGAACCAAAGACUCUCGUACCAUGUUGGGAGGAGAUACUAGAAACAUUGAUACAUAGUGAACUCACACUUGAAGGAGAGUGUUGGAAUAAUAUAGCAAGUGUGAGUAAGUGA